rnacentral:rRNA from 1 species
CCUACGGGUGGCAGCAGUGGGGAAUAUUGCACAAUGGGGGAAACCCUGAUGCAGCAACGCCGCGUGAGUGAAGAAGUCAUUCGUGAUGUAAAGCUCUAUCAGCAGGGAAGAAAAUGACGGUACCUGACUAAGAAGCCCCGGCUAACUACGUGCCAGCAGCCGCGGUAAUAAGUAGGGGGCAAGCGUUAUCCGGAUUUACUGGGUGUAAAGGGAGCGUAGACGGUCAGGUAAGUCUGGAGUGAAAGCCCGGGGCCCAACCCCGGGACUGAUUUGGAAACUGUGUAACUGGAGAACAGGAGGGGCAGGCGGAAUUCCUGGUGUAGCGGUGAAAUGCGUAGAUAUCAGGAGGAACACCGGCGGCGAAGGCGGCCUGCUGGACUGAAACUGACGUUGAGGCUCGAAAGCGUGGGGAGCAAACAGGAUUAGAUACCCUAGUAGUC